CCUCACUCCUCCAGAUGGUCCAGCUGAGGCCCUCUUGGACAACACUUCCUCUCCUGCCCAUGAUGAGGAAACUGAGGCCCCACGUGGUGAAGACAAUUUUUACCCGAAUCCACCCACAACAAGAGACCAUUUGGAUAAUGUACAUUAUGGGAAGAGAACAGAGUCUCAGUGAAGAUCAUGUUUCCCCAGCAACACAGGUGCCAGGAGUAGCUGGCUCUGGUCCCAGCCCAGACUCAGAAAUCCUGAGCCACCAGACCAUUUCUAGAUUAACAAUGACCCACUGGAAACCAGUGUCAGCAUAACAACAGUUACGAGAGCUAAACCUACAAAAUAGAAACACAAGUAAAACUUGUUCAAGUGGUUUGCAGUCAUUGAACAUAGAUCAGCUCCUAUGAAAACAAACUCCAUGGAACACAGGAGCUAUGUGGAGAGUUGAUGGAGGGACAUUCCAGGCAGAGAGAACAGCAAACACAAAGGCCUUGAAGGGAGCGGUGGCUUACAUCUGCAAUCCCACCACUUUGGGAGGCUGAGGCAGGUGGAUUGCUUGAUCUCAGGAGUUCGAGACCAGCCUGGGCAAUGUGGUGAAACCCAGUCUCUACCAAAAAAUACAAAAAUUAGCCGGGCAUGGUGAGCAUGCCUCUGGUCCCAGCUACCCAGGAGGCUGAGGUGGGAGAAUCACUUGAGCCUAGAAGGUCAAGGCUGCAGUGAGCCGUGAUUGAGCCACUGCAUUCCAGCCUGGGUGAUAGGGCCACAAGUUGAAAAGGCAAAGGCAGGAUUGAACCGCAUUGCUCACCACAGAAUUUGGGUGAUGCCUGCUCGUUGAGUUGGAUCGCCUGGUUCCUGACUCAUUACCUGAAUUGGACCCCAUCUGCCUUCCAGCACUGGGCCCUCCUCACCUCCCAGGCAUCUCCUGGCCCCAUCGUUCUCAUCCACACUGCCAGUUGCUGCUUUCAUCUGCAUCCUCUUUCCUCAGCCUUCUGCUACCCACCCCUCGCCUCCCACCCCC
rnacentral:lncRNA from 1 species